rnacentral:lncRNA from 1 species
GUAGUUCGUGGACUAUCAGAGCCGGGAGGACCUCCGAGGCCAGGCUCUCAUUUUACAAAGGAGACCCAGGCUUACGAAGAGAAAGUGACCGGCCCAGAGUCACACAGCUAGAUCGGGAGUCCAGUGUUGGCCUGUUAAUACACGUCACCUUAGCUCACCUUUUGGGUGUUUCCAGCAUGUGCUGUUGUCUUUAUUUUUCUGACUGACACAUUCCUGGCACUCAGGCGGUAGGACUGCAGGAGACUUAUUAGAAACCGUAUUUGGGCCUGGCUCUAGUUUCACUGCAUGGAGAGUUAGACACACAUCCCCACUUUGCUGCAAAUGUCACCCUGACCCAGCCCUGUGCCCAAAGGCCCCGAUCUCUCGUAGAUUCCCCGGGGAAGCCUGGGUGGAAGGUACCCUGGGACCCUCCACGGAGCCUUCUGUUGGAGCGGCAGGCUGAGGAGCCUUCCUACCGGCGCUCCUUCCGUCUACUGUUAAGGGCUCCUGGUCCCGGGGCUGGUCAGCCAUGGGCAUUCUGGCUUGGGUACCUUCUCUCUCUGGUCCCUGGAGUCCUGUCCUGGCCCUCUUGCCCAGGACGAGGCCCACCUCUCCAAACCCUCUCUCUUGCUGGCCUACUUUACCAUCUCCUCAGCAUUCCCUGGCUCCGGGAGCUCGGGCUUACAGGCCGGUGUCUCAUCCACCCGCGUGUCAGCCGCACCUCUCCACUAAGGUGGGGACGGCUUCGAGGGCCGGGGCCGAGGGGGCCUGUCCCCAGCGUGGUGCUGAGUGCGGAGCGUGGGGCUGGCGCACGGAGUAACUGGGCGCCCCUUGAGCCGGGUGAGGGAUGCCGUUCUGCAAGACCCAGGGGUGGCUUCGGCCAGGAGGGGGGCACGGGACACGCAGGCCUCCGUCCCCACGAGCGCCGUUUGUGUUCUCUUGGCAGGGUGCAACCUGAAGAUCUUCAACAACCAGGAGUUUGCCGCCCUCCUGGCGCAGUCGGUGAACCAGGGCUUCGAGGCGGUCUACCAGCUGACCCGCAUGUGCACCAUCCGCAUGAGCUUUGUCAAGGGCUGGGGCGCAGAGUACAGGAGACAGACCGUGACCAGCACCCCCUGCUGGAUCGAGCUGCACCUGAAUGGGCCUUUGCAGUGGCUUGACAAGGUCCUCACCCAGAUGGGCUCCCCGACCG